rnacentral:rRNA from 1 species
AUGGGCCCCUGGGGGGGAGAUGUAAGAAAAAUUACCAAUUUUACCCUUAGCCCCAGUGUUAUAUUUGGUUAUUUACUAAAAUCUCCUUUUGGUGGAGAAGGGUGGAUUGUUAGUGUAGAUGAUUUAGAAGAUAUAAUUGGUGGGCAUGUAUGGUUGGGUUUUAUUUGUGUAUUUGGUGGAAUUUGGCAUAUUUUAACCAAACCCUUCGCAUGGGCUCGCCGUGCAUUUGUAUGGUCUGGAGAAGCUUACUUGUCUUAUAGUUUAGCUGCUUUAUCUGUCUUUGGUUUUAUCGCUUGUUGUUUUGUAUGGUUCAAUAAUACAGCUUAUCCGAGUGAGUUUUAUGGACCCACCGGGCCAGAAGCUUCUCAAGCUCAAGCAUUUACUUUUCUAGUUAGAGACCAGCGUCUUGGAGCUAAUGUGGGAUCCGCUCAAGGCCCCACAGGUUUAGGUAAAUAUCUAAUGCGUUCCCCAACUGGGGAGGUUAUCUUUGGAGGGGAAACUAUGCGUUUUUGGGACCUUCGUGCUCCAUGGUUAGAACCUCUAAGGGCCCCCAACGGUUUGGACUUGAGUAGGUUGAAAAAAGACAUACAACCUUGGCAAGAACGACGCUCAGCAGAAUAUAUGACCCACGCUCCUUUAGGCUCUUUAAAUUCCGUGGGUGGCGUAGCUACCGAGAUCAAUGCAGUUAAUUAUGUCUCUCCUAGAAGUUGGUUAUCAACUUCUCAUUUUGUUCUAGGAUUCUUCUUUUUUGUGGGCCAUUUAUGGCAUGCAGGAAGAGCCCGAGCUGCUGCAGCAGGUUUUGAAAAGGGAAUCGAUCGUGAUUUGGAACCUGUUCUUUACAUGAACCCUCUUAACUAA